CUCGCCUUGUGCGCGCGGAUCGCGGGUCGCGAAAAAUAGUUUCGUUUUUCGAGGAAAGCCUUCGGUGUUGAACAGUCGAGGAUGGACAGUCGGCACUUGCCAAGAUACAGAACCUACGUCGGAUGAAGCUAAAAUCGUGUCCCGCAGCUAGUAACAUCUACAAACCCUGGGCCUGAACUCCGGUUAGGAAAAAGUCUUAACGUAGACUAACUACUGCGUCGACGAAAAGCCUUCUACGAUCCUACUUCAGCGGGCGAAAUAACACGAAGUUUUGUAAAAGACAUCCAUUGUUCUAGGACACGGUUGGCACGAACAAGGCCAAUCCGGGGAACCGUGUCGGUGUUUCAGUGUAACAAAAAAAUUGUAUAGGCUUAUGUUUUGGUACACGUCAAACAAACAGAUUAUUGUUAUUGUUGUAGCCAACACACACAUGUUUUACAUGGGUUGUACAAGCAAGUAGUUCUUACUGUCUGACUUGUGUAAGUAUAAUACUUUAUGACGCGUGCUACAUUGCACAAUUUACGAUGAAACAUGAAGACAGAAAUUUAUUUUCUUCAGUUCCGUCUGUCACGUAAUACCUGGAUUCAAGGAUCGAGUUAUCAAGCAAGAGCUUAUCGAAUGUUUACUCACUUACCCAUUUGCUCAGCGUAAACGCGCGUACAACUAUAGAGUUAAACGGGAGGCUUGUCCAAGUCGGCCGUGAAAUCUACAGUAACUCGCAGCGGCAGCUUAACCUACAGAUUAUAAAAAAUAAGUUACAGAUAACAAAAAAAAGGUAACAAACGUUAAUUAGCUGACAUAAAAUCGGGUUCCAAGAUACAAAGGAAUUGACGAAGUACGGAAAAGCGCGUAAAACCAACAAGCAAGGACCUGAUCAACUGUCGCCGAGCUUUCUCGCAGUACUAAAGCAUGGCGAACUAACUAGCCAUAGUAGGUAGGAGUUAUUAUUAUGACCCGUUAGCGUGCGAGAACGCAGAAUUCCCUCCACAACGGAAAAAACAUAAACAUUCGGAUAAAAUAAUUUCUGUGACGAACUUCAAAAGUUAUCUUCAAACGAAAAAUCAAAUUGAGAGCUGCAUGCGCCAGCAGCGGAAUUUCUAUCUCGGAUAAUCGCGUGAGCCUGACGUUAUAGUCUGUCAGACGAAGAGUUCACCUGUUGCACCAAUUUGAAGAUAAAGCUACAGUAGCAACUGACCGAAGAAAGAUGACCUCAUAGAUGUUAGUAGAGGAAAAAUUGGCUAGAGAUUUCAGUUUUUGUGUCCUGGCUAUUGCCCUGCAUUGGAAUGACGUACUUCACUUUUUCUAGCUUUAUUUAGAUUAGCCAACUGUUACUAUAGAAGAUGUUUCAUCUUGCUCAUCAGUGUGAAAUGGCUCUUUUUUAAACAGAGGAACCGGAAACAGCUCAGUCUAAAAGAGGUAAAAAGAUACGAAUCAUUAAACCAAACAGGGUAUAAAGUGAACGAUGAAAUGGAGAAUUACUGCUAAGCGAUACUAACGCUAAUCAUUCAUAUUUUCCAUGUUUUUCGAAUCGUUGAGCAUUCUUCGUAUAUUAUUUGCAUACACUGAUCCUUGCUUGUUUAAUAGUAUAAAGUAUUGUUGCACUACAAUUCGAUCGUAUGUUACCGAUGCAUCACGAAAAUUUGAAAAUGCCGCGGUAUCGAAUGCAUUUUACUCGAAGCACGGAUGGGACGACUGCAAA